rnacentral:rRNA from 1 species
GAUGAACGCUGGCGGCGUGCCUAAUACAUGCAAGUCGAGCGAACGGACGAGAAGCUUGCUUCUCUGAUGUUAGCGGCGGACGGGUGAGUAACACGUGGAUAACCUACCUAUAAGACUGGGAUAACUUCGGGAAACCGGAGCUAAUACCGGAUAAUAUUUUGAACCGCAUGGUUCAAAAGUGAAAGACGGUCUUGCUGUCACUUAUAGAUGGAUCCGCGCUGCAUUAGCUAGUUGGUAAGGUAACGGCUUACCAAGGCAACGAUGCAUAGCCGACCUGAGAGGGUGAUCGGCCACACUGGAACUGAGACACGGUCCAGACUCCUACGGGAGGCAGCAGUAGGGAAUCUUCCGCAAUGGGCGAAAGCCUGACGGAGCAACGCCGCGUGAGUGAUGAAGGUCUUCGGAUCGUAAAACUCUGUUAUUAGGGAAGAACAUAUGUGUAAGUAACUGUGCACAUCUUGACGGUACCUAAUCAGAAAGCCACGGCUAACUACGUGCCAGCAGCCGCGGUAAUACGUAGGUGGCAAGCGUUAUCCGGAAUUAUUGGGCGUAAAGCGCGCGUAGGCGGUUCUUUAAGUCUGAUGUGAAAGCCCACGGCUCAACCGUGGAGGGUCAUUGGAAACUGGAAAACUUGAGUGCAGAAGAGGAAAGUGGAAUUCCAUGUGUAGCGGUGAAAUGCGCAGAGAUAUGGAGGAACACCAGUGGCGAAGGCGACUUUCUGGUCUGUAACUGACGCUGAUGUGCGAAAGCGUGGGGAUCAAACAGGAUUAGAUACCCUGGUAGUCCACGCCGUAAACGAUGAGUGCUAAGUGUUAGGGGGUUUCCGCCCCUUAGUGCUGCAGCUAACGCAUUAAGCACUCCGCCUGGGGAGUACGACCGCAAGGUUGAAACUCAAAGGAAUUGACGGGGACCCGCACAAGCGGUGGAGCAUGUGGUUUAAUUCGAGGCAACGCGAAGAACCUUACCAAAUCUUGACAUCCUUUGACAACUCUAGAGAUAGAGCUUUCCCCUUCGGGGGACAAAGUGACAGGUGGUGCAUGGUUGUCGUCAGCUCGUGUCGUGAGAUGUUGGGUUAAGUCCCGCAACGAGCGCAACCCUUAAGCUUAGUUGCCAUCAUUAAGUUGGGCACUCUAAGUUGACUGCCGGUGACAAACCGGAGGAAGGUGGGGAUGACGUCAAAUCAUCAUGCCCCUUAUGAUUUGGGCUACACACGUGCUACAAUGGACAAUACAAAGGGCAGCGAAACCGCGAGGUCAAGCAAAUCCCAUAAAGUUGUUCUCAGUUCGGAUUGUAGUCUGCAACUCGACUACAUGAAGCUGGAAUCGCUAGUAAUCGUAGAUCAGCAUGCUACGGUGAAUACGUUCCCGGGUCU